CGUGGCGUUAAAUCUGUAAUUCAGUUGUUGUCCUUGUUGGCUGUCGGUCAUGACAAUUGUUUUUUUUUUCAUUUUUCUUUCUGUUAGUAUAAAUCAGGCCGCUACGAGAUAGGUGAUCAAAAAGUACGGCCAGCAGUUCCUGAUCUGCUAGUCUCUGUCGUUAUUUUAGCAGUAAUACAAAUAACGCUAGGAGUUUAAUUGAAAUUGUAAAAAACUUCUUUAAAUUCCACUAACUAAAAGCUUCCGAUUUGACUUUCUGUUA
rnacentral:lncRNA from 1 species